rnacentral:lncRNA from 1 species
AACACUUUAAUAUAUAUAUACUAUAGUACGAUUUAUAAUAUUUGUACAUCUUAAUACAAGUUUCAAUAAUCCACAUGUACGGAAUACUAGCCCUUAAUCAAAAAAUAUUUUAAAUAGCAUUAGAAUACAUCUAACAAGAUUUUCUGCAGAAGCAUAAACGACCAACCGAGAAUGUUCAUCUCUGGAAAUGUUCUUUGAAAGAAAACUCAUGAAGUUCUCGACUCCAGUUGAACCUACAAAGACAACAUGAAUAUAAGUAUCCAUAACACAUACGUACAGCCAAUGAGUAACUAAAUCAAUGUCUCAACAAAAUACAGAACACAAACAAGAACUUCAACACUUGAUUCCAUGAAAUGAAAAGAAGCACGUGAGGACUACAUUAGGCAAACGAUCAUUAAAUAAUAGUGUGAAGAAGUGUAAUCCCAAAUGAUCAAAAAGUUGGACAAUCAAUCUAACCUUGUUAUCCUUCUUACAAAGAAAACAUAUGGAUCAUUCACAAGUCCUUAAACCAAAGUAAUACCAUUCUAUAAGUGUACAACUCACUCGUUUUCUCUUUAAUCUUAACUCUUGGUGUCAUGUAAACCACUACUGAAACUUUACCCAUGAUGAUGAUUACCAAAAUCAUAACUUUUAAAUAUAAUAACUAUGCGUAUACACGUAUGCAUGAGGUCUCAUGAUUUUAAUCAGUAGAUGUCCUAAAAACAUAAUCGUAUGACACAAGAGAAUAACAAAUAUCAAAGGCGUUUCAAGUUUAAACCAAUUACAAAUAACAUUUUAUAUACUUCACAUCUGGAAGCUCGAACACAAAAUUCAACAUACUCACUAACAACACAUCACAAACACACAUAACCCUAGACAAAUUACAGCAAACAAAUCCCAACAACCGGCACUUAAGGCAAAUUUGGUAGUUAAGUUACUUUAUUGACUAGUUUGACACAACUUAAGGCAAAGUACAAAGUUUUAAGAUCUCACAUUUCAUUUUUCAUUCUUUUUUUCUCAAAGCUUCAGCCCAUAGCCAUGACAUCUCCUUU